rnacentral:rRNA from 1 species
GAUGAACGCUGGCGGCGUGCCUAAUACAUGCAAGUCGAGCGAACGGACGAGAAGCUUGCUUCUCUGAUGUUAGCGGCGGACGGGUGAGUAACACGUGGAUAACCUACCUAUAAGACUGGGAUAACUUCGGGAAACCGGAGCUAAUACCGUAUAAUAUUUUGAACCGCAUGGUUCAAAAGUGAAAGACGGUCUUGCUGUCACUUAUAGAUGGAUCCGCGCUGCAUUAGCUAGUUGGUAAGGUAACGGCUUACCAAGGCAACGAUGCAUAGCCGACCUGAGAGGGUGAUCGGCCACACUGGAACUGAGACACGGUCCAGACUCCUACGGGAGGCAGCAGUAGGGAAUCUGCCGCAAUGGGCGAAAGCCUGACGGAGCAACGCCGCGUGAGUGAUGAAGGUCUUCGGAUCGUAAAACUCUGUUAUUAGGGAAGAACAUAUGUGUAAGUAACUGUGCACAUCUUGACGGUACCUAAUAAGAAAGCCACGGCUAACUACGUG